UACGUAGGGUGCGAGCGUUGUCCGGAAUUACUGGGCGUAAAGGGCUUGUAGGUGGUUUGUCGCGUUGUUCGUGAAAUGCCACAACUCAAUUGUGGGCGUGCGGGCGAUACGGGCAGACUGGAGUACUGCAGGGGAGACUGGAAUUCCCGGUGUAGUGGUGAAAUGCGUAGAUAUCGGGAGGAACACCGGUGGCGAAGGCGGUUCUCUGGGCCUUACCUGACGCUGAGGAGCGAAAGCGUGGGGAGCGAACAGG
rnacentral:rRNA from 1 species